rnacentral:rRNA from 1 species
AACGAACGCUGGCGGCAGGCUUAACACAUGCAAGUCGAACGGACCUUCCGUGGUGAGUUGCUGUCGGGUGAGUAACGCGUGGGAAGCUACCCUUCUCUACGGGAUACUUCCGGGUAACUGGAAUUAAUACCGUAUACGUUCUGAGGGUGAAAGAUUUAUCGGGGAAGGAUGAGCGCGCGUUGGUUUAGCUGGUUGGUGGUGUAAAGGCCUACCAAGGCGAGGAUCCAUAGCUGGUCUAAGAGGAUGAUCAGCCACAUUUGGACUAAGACACGGCCCAAACUCCUACGCAAGGGAGGAGAGGGUAAUAUUGGACAAUGGGGGCAGGCCUGAUCCAGCCAUGCCGGGUAAGUGAUGAAGGCCGUAGGGUUGUGAAGCUCUUUCAGACGGGGCGAUAAUGACGGUACCCACAGAAGAAGCCCCGGCUAACUUCGUG